UCUAUACCCUAAUCCAUUUCUAUUUUCUUUGUUGCCCCCAUCUCUCCUCUUUCUCUCCCUUUCAUCCUACAAAGCCUAUAACCAUUCUUGAUCAAGCUCUCAAACAGAUGGGGUCAGAUACUAUGAAUGCAAGCCUUGUCAACUGAUUGCGCUGGAAUUUUUUAUCGAGGAUCUUCAGAAUUGAAAGAUUAAAAAUGUCUGGGGGGAGGUUAAAAUAAAUCUCACAUCAAGAUAUAUAACCGUCAAAAGGAAACUCACGAACAGCGAACCAUUUGAUAGAAAAAAGGGUUUAGACCUUCACUAUGUUUUUGUGGGUGAUGAUUGUGCCUGCACUUUGCUACCAUACAAAAUCCCCCUAUUCAUUGAUCAGAUUACAUUGUUUUGGCGGCCCAACGAAAAGGGAAGGCUCAAGUCCCGGAGCGGUUGCUUU